UAGAAUCAUUGUUAUAUAAUAUGUACUUGCACUUUUGUCUUCCCAUGAUUGCGAGGAAAAGUUGCAGUUGAUAGCUACUAAACAUUUAGCACUUUGUCACAAAAUCCAAAACUAUCUCCAAUCCAUCCUCCAAACUUCAUUAUACAUACAUGCAUAUAUCCUGAUUUCUUCCUAAUCGACAAAGCUAGGCCAUUUGCUCUAUUGUAAGAAACAGAGGUGUUCUUGUAAGAAAUAAAUGGAGUUACAUGAUCAUUGUAUAUGUAUUACGGUUUUAUCGAUCGUAAUCAAUAGUUAUGAUAAAACUGUAGCACAUACAAUAAUCAUAAUUAAUAGUUCCAUGAUAAUCGGUACCUAUACUUAUAUAAUCGAAAAUAACUAACGGUUACAAUAACACACAAUAACCAUAAUCAAUGUCAAACUCCUUUCAUUUCUUGUAAAAGACACCUUUGUUUCUUACAAUAGUGUAAAUAGUCUAGUUAUGUUGUUUAGGAAGAAAUCGAGAUCCAACUGGAAGAGGGGAGCCGCCCGAGGAAGAGGAGGAGGAGAAAGAGAGUAUCAGCUAGUGAUGGUGGGGAUCAGGGCCCCCAGGACUGACUCUAAAAGACUGAUUGAAACCUCCAACGAUCUCUUGCCUCCGCAUGCUUUCAUCCAACACUUCUUUGGCAGUUUCUAUGAGGGAACGAUGACUCCUCCUUUGGUGUGAGGAGUGGUGGAUUGGACGAGUUUCCGACAUUGAAAAUGAAAGCAACACCAGGACUAAGCAUAACAGAAACCUUACAUUAGCUGCCAUUGUCAUCUCUCUUGUCUCCCAGCUCAAAUAUGAAGUGCAGAUGUACACAUUUCCAUAGCUUCAGGGUAUAUAUAGACUGCACUUCAUGCCCAUAUGCCCACCUUAAAAAUGUAUGGAUAAAAGGAAAAUUCUAAAAUAAUCUCCAUGUAGUGCUCUCAUGGACUUCAUUUAUUUAUUUAUUUUUAUUUCUCUCAAUAAAAGGAAUAUUAUUUUAUUCCUUAAUUUCCUUGUAUUAUAUGGUCUGUGGUAUCUAAUCUCUCAAAAUCUCAAAUGAAUAUUACAAGAAUAAUGAAUCUCAUGAUCGGCUUCACCGGAAUUCUCUUCGUUAAGCCAUGUUAAAAUUGAGGGUAAUAUGUGGUUGAUUUAAGGAGGAUAAUGUGAAAACUGAGGCAUAAAGGAAAUAAACUUUUACGGAAUAUUGACAAGUGGAAGCUUUUGGCCGCAAUCUUAAGCUUUCAGCAUCACCGAUUUUGUUGUGAAUUAACCUUCGAUUCCAAGAAAAG
rnacentral:lncRNA from 1 species